GGUUCCUUGGUAACAUUUGUAGCAACCAGAAUAAGGUUGCUGAAAAUAAUUUUUCUGUCAUUAACAAGGGCUCUUUCAACAUUUUGGUAACUGGAGUGGAAUCAAGUUUCAUUAAGUUUUUUGAUCGGAGUGUCUGGUCGUGUCGUCGGCACGAAUGUAUGUGCAAAACACUUGAAUCGGUCAACUGUGUUUCAAUUGAAAUCUAUAGCUGCCCUUACACGAGACAAUAUUAUUGUCAAUACAAGGAGUAUUGACAAUACUUUUGAUCGUGUAGUGGAAACUUCAUUGGAUUGACGAAAAUAUUGUCAAGAAAUCAAAACUGCUCAUCAAUCCGACAAUACUUUCUCUCCAGAGAGGAAACUGCCAAAUAUGUGCAAUGAACUCAUCUCUCAAUAUUUCAAUGUUCAUUUGCAAUAUUUGAAGCUCCAAACGCUUGAUUUUCUCGAAAAAUGCGGACUCAAGUUACCAAGUCAAUUAGCCGCCCUUACACGUGACAAUAUUAUUGUCAAUCCAAAGUAUUGUCAAUACCGUCAAUCCAAUUGACUUGGUAACUUGAGUCCGCAUUUUUCGAGAAAAUCAAGCGUUUGGAGCUUCAAAUAUUGCAAAUGAAUAUUAAAAUAUAGAGAGAAGAGAUUAUUGCACAUAUUUAACAGUUUCUCCGACGACACGACCAGACACUACGAAGAAAAUUUGCAACUAAAAGUGUCUGUGAGCGAUUUACCGCCAGUUACCACAAAUAUAGCGACCCCUUGAUAAUGAUAAAAAUAUUCUUCUUCAGCAACACUGUUUAAGUUGCUACGAACAAGUUACUAAGGAGCCUCAAGAAAAUCAACAAACAUUUUGAGGAAGUGGCAAUUGAAAUAAUUCAAUUUUUGAGGCCUCAGCGCCACUUUCUAGUAGCAACUUAAGAAAGUGAAGCAUCGAAAUUCUACAACCAUCAUCAGUGCAAGAUAUAAUAAAGAGUUUGUCAUAUACAGUCUGCAAGAGUCACACCAGAAUCCAGAAACUAGCGUCUGUCUCCCGACAACGAAAACCAUCUACGUCACGUGGAUUCUCUGCGCAAAGUAGCUGAUCUUGAAUGCAUUUUGUUCAAAAUUGCGACGUAUUUUAAGGGCCGUUAUCUUGCUGCAACCAAACACAAAUCGAUAGCGCCUCGCUGAUGUAUCCGGUGAGGGUAAAGUGCCUAUAACCAGAUUAAAAAGCUAACGAAACUGAAUUUCGGAUUAAUUUUUUUGAAAUGUUUCCAACAUUACGAAUAAGAUAUCGUCAUGUUGGGUCUAGGCACUCUAGGUGAGAUCAUCAUUUGACGUUCAUAUACGCAUCUCUAACCAUUGUUCAAUGGACACAUUUUUAUGUUGAUUUACCCGUUGGACUUGUUUACAAACGUUAACUGGUGACUUAUAUCAUUGUACAUUCAAUAAAACAUUAAAAAUUGAAA